rnacentral:lncRNA from 1 species
GAUCACCUGAAAUACACAUCUGCUUUAUAAUAUAACAACCAAUACUUUAUUGUCAAUUUAUGUUAAAGGCAUCACCAAACGUUUGCUAAUACACUCAAAGAAAAAUAAAAAGGUCAUACAGUGAAUUGCUACAGAGUCAGAAGUAUGUUAUGUCAAGGAUAAGAUUUACAGGGAUUUUGAAAUACUUUGGUUAAUCAUACAUUCAGGUAUUUGUGGAAAUAGCCUUACAUUUAAAUUCAUACAGAAAUUUUUUUCUCUUUUUCAUUUCAGUUGUACAUUGACCCAUUGGGUCAUGUUUUCCAUGGGCCUAACAAAGAAAAAAUAUGUUUUUUUGUCCCCUCAGAGUCCACUUUUUCAGUAUGUGAAAAUAGUUUUUUACUCUUCAGUGCAUUUCUUAUUGCGGCCAAACAAAUAUAGUUGUCUCCACAUUUAUUUGCAUUACACAGUUCUCAGACUUUUCUAGUGCCCUGUUAGAAGGGCCAUCUAUGGUCUUCAGUUUUCAAUAGCUGCUUAAAACAUGAUACUUAGAACUGAGUUUAAUAUUUGUGGGUAGGAGUUUUUCUCUCUCCCUUCCUAAGAUAUGGACAUUAUUUCUUUUAAAGUAACUUUAGUUUUCCUUAGCAGUUUCAUUUACUAUGUCACAUGUUUGAUUUUUUUUUAAUCUUUGAAAUUAAAUCCCUCCGUCUAGUAUACAUCAACUUCUUUGCAUUUUUGUAUUUUUGUCUAAUGUAUAUUAUUUUAAAUAUAAAAUAAAUAUUGAUGAUGGGAGGGAAAACGCCAGGUUUAAACCAGGGAAAGAUUCUUCCUUAUACUGUGUCACUUGAUCGUAAGAGAGUAUUUAAAGAGAAGAUAUGAAGCUAAAUAAGUCAGAGAUUUGGGGGCAUUAAUGGGAAAUGGUAUUGGAUGAAGACAGUGCAGGCAGAGAGAGAGUGUUUCACAAUUUCAGAGGACAUGAUUUAAAACCACAAUGGGAUAUCACUUCAUAUUUGUCAGGAUGGCUAUAUUUUUUUAAAAAAAGAUAAUGAUCUUUGGCAAUGAUGUGCAGAAAUUGUAAGCCUUGUACACUGUUGGUGAGGAUGAAAACUGUGCUGCUGCUAUGGAAAACUAUAUGGAGGUUGCUCAAAAAAUUAAAUAUGAAACCACCAUUUGACCUAGCAAUCUCACUUCUGGGUAUUUAUCCAAAAGACUUGCUAUUAGGAUCUCAAAAAGAUAUUAGCAUUCACAUAUUCAUUGUAGCAUUAUUCCCAAGAUGUGGAAGCAUCCUUAAUGUCCCUUAACAGAUGAAUGGAUAAAAAAGUGGUAUAUACAUAAAAUGGAAUAUUAUCCACCCCUAAGGAAGCAAAUGCUGUACAGUGAGUCAACAAGGUGUAUUGUAGACACAAACAUUUUAAGAGGUUAGAUAUCAUGUUCAGUGUUCUUAAAACAGUAAAAUGAAAAUUUUUAAAAGAUUAAUUUCAAUGAAAUGAGUGUUUUUUUCUAGACUCUAUCCGUUAACGUUGUAUACACCGGAUGUUUUAUAAAUAGGAAUGAUGGGCUAAAUUGCACUAUUUAGGGACCAUGUUAACCUAAGAACCUUUUCAUAUUUAGAAUACAAAAGCCUGUUGUGUGUAUUAAUGUAGCCUUUAUCUUUUACAGAGAAUUUCUCUUAGAAGCCACAUUUUAUCGACAAGUUGAAAAUGGUUCUGCACAGUGUGCUCUUUGAUUUUAAAUCAAUAUGUAGUCUCAGUCUCUAAAAUAGUGGUUCUCAAUGGUGAUGUUUUAUUCCAUAGAAGAUAUUUGGGAGUGUCUGGGAUAUUUUUGGUUGUCACAACUAUUCAUGAGUGUGGGGGUGCUACACUCAGGGGGUAGAGACCAAGGAUGCUGUUAACCUUCCUACAUCACAACACCAUGGCCAUCAGUGGAGAAUUAUCUAGUACAGAUUGUCAGUAGGACCUAAGCUGAGAAAUUCUGCUGUAGAAGUAAAAAGGUUGUAAUGGCUGAACAAUUAUUUUUAUAAUUGUUCUGAUGUGAAAAUACCCAACUACAUGGAUUCUGUACAAUUGAAAUUGUGUGAAAUAUGCCAUUCACAUGUCUGAAUCAAUCUAAUCAGAUUAUCAAUUAUAGAAUUAAUUAAGUAUAAGGUGAGGGUUGUGUUUGUACAUGUUUGACAUACGUUUGUAAAUGAAGGCUACUGUGUAUAUGCUAGUAACAGUGGAUUUAUUCUAUUGCUACUAAAGUUAACGUAAUUUCUUAUGUGUAGUACCCAGUUUAAUUUAGUGAUAUUUUGACACAUUUCAACUUACUGUGUUACUGAAAAACAAUACAUCAGUGAAAGUAAUCACCGAUAGUUGAACCAUCUUAAUACCCAUUCUAGCAUUCAGUGAUACGUAAAUAUGUUAUAAAUGCAUAAUAAUAUCUGUAUAUUUUUGCCUGUGUUUUCGUAGUCUAAAUUCUCAAGAUUUUGGGAUAUUUUCUUUAAAACAUAUUUUAUUUGAUGAAAGAAUUGUUAGUUGAUAUACAUUUGUCCCUUUUAAUUUUUUUAUACAAAUAUUUAAGUAUAUUCUUAAGCAGUCAAGUUUAGGCAUCAAAGGGUUAUCAGAAAUAAGAGUUUUAAGUCAUAUGGGGACAUUAAUAAUAUUACAUGCUAAUUAAAAUUGUCCGUCAUGACAAGGCAUAAAUCCGUCAUACCAUAUUAAGCAGAAGUAGAAAAAUGACAAAAUUGAGAUUCUGAUAUAUGUCUCUUUUUCAAUAAUCAUGGCCUUAUUGGGUAUAUAUAUGCAUAUGUAUAUAUGUAUAUUAUACAUGUGUAUAUAUGUGUGUUUAUAUCUAUAUAUAACUGUAUCUAUCUUUCUAUCUAUCUAUCUAUCUACUUACUGGCAAGGAGAAGAAGGUUUUUUGCCUUUUUUCUUUUUUUGGUAUAUUUUAAUGUGACAAGUCGGAACAUCGCAGCAAGUAGAGCAGAAGUAGUAGGUGAUGAGGAACUGAAUGGAGAUGUCCAUGAAUGGAGAGCAAAUUAUACAGGACUGAAGUAAAUAGAUUUCUCAUACAUGCCGUAUGCAUGAAACCAGAAGUGCUAGAGGGGAAGGUAAGAAUCCAAGGGAAGAUGGGCCCCCAAUUAAGUGUGUAUAUAGAGGAUCUUCUCAGCUGGGAUAUUUCUCUUUCCACUGGGCGGACAGGAGUAAGGAUCACACCAGCUUUGAAAAGAUGUGAAGGUUCAGAGUCGCUAUUAGAGCAAAGAAGCCGGCUGUAGACAUCAGUUGGAAUGCUAAAGAGUUCACCUGAAUAGUACCAAUCUACAUAAUCUGCAGGCACUUUGAUAUUUCUAUUCUAAAAGAGAGUUAAAGGCCAUAUUAAAUAUUAAACAGUCUCUUUCAAAGUGUUCUUGAAAAUAUUGUUAAGGUGUCAUUUCAAGUUAUUGCUGAAGCUUGAGUUGGUUAUUAGCUGGCUGCUGUUAACAACCACGGUUAUAGAUACUGAACACAUUAUUUUUUCUAUUGUAAGGUGUGCUUUUACUUUUUUCCUACUUUAAAGAUAAGGAACAAGACCACUUAGAUUUAGAGGCAUUUUAUACUAUACACUUGAUAAGCAUACAUGAUCGCUUUCUUGUAUGAAAGGAGAGAGAGCGAGCUCUACAUUAAAAAAGUGAACCUCUCAAUAGAUAAUCUGAAUGGAACAUUUAAUUCAUUCAUUCAGUGAUGAGUUGGAGUUUAAGGCAGAUGUUACCGCUUAUUCUUGAAUCAUAAAAUCUAUUCUUUUAACUUCAGUUUAUUUUGAAAUAUGUACUGUGGCGUAGUAAUAGAAAUCAAAUAGUUAUUGAGAUUCACUGGAUGUCUAAAAUGUAAAUUUGGUUGGACAUAUGGUUGUGGCUUAAAGGUCAUCUAUUUACAGGGUUUGGACUGCUAUUAUUUAAUUAUAUUAAUUCCUCUGCUAUUAAAUAUUAAUGAUGAAUUUUCAAAAUAAUCAUUAUUUAAAGUGUUCUGAUAUUCUAUUUUUGUCAUAUCACAGAAAUAUUACCAGUACUGUAAUGCAACAAUAGUAUGCAUUAUGUAUGUUAUAUUGGAAAGAAGGCACAACAGAAUGGGUAGGGUAGAAGAGAUUUUACAAAACAUAGGUUGUCUGGGCACCUGUAAUCCAGAUAACAGUCCAGUUCUCCUGACUUAAAUGAUAAAGUGAAGUAUCACUCCUCUGUUUACUUGGUUAUUAGAAGUGGUUAUGUGUAAAGUUAUAGCAUUUAAUUUGGAAGAAGAAGGGCUUUAAGUGAAUAAACUGUCUUAAAGGAGAAAAAUAUUUUGUUUUUACUUUCAGCGUAUAGAUAAGUGUCAACAAAGAUGAAGGGUAGUAGUUGGGUCGACACAAAAUGAGCUCCACCUGCAAAAAGCUGAUUAAUGGCAGCAACUCAAAGUAUUUUGUUUGCUUUUUAGAUCUUUCCUUUAAGUAUACAGACAUGGUCAUCUCCAUGCAGAACAUCCUAGUCGCGGAACAUAUAUUUUAACCACACUAAUAAAAUCAUAAAAAUAUAACAUUUGAAUAGUAAAUCACAACUUAAGCACACUUUUGUUAUCCUGCUACAGUAUAUGCCCAGCAAAUGUCAGUAUCUGCUAAACACCGUGUCUUAGGCAAUCAGGGGAAUAGUCCACCUGUUCUUUCAGGAUUCAGUAACUAAGGAAGAAGAAAAAGGAGACAAGUAAAUACCUAAACGAUUAGAACACUGUGGUGAAUAGGAACAGUGAUUAUAUUUUUCUUAGUUUAUUUACAUGGAAAUUGAGAUUUGAGAAACUGGCUCCCAUCUAGGUUGUUAGGCUCAUAAAAAGUAGAAUUGGCAUUCAAAACUCUUUCGUUUCUGGAUUUCCUGUUGUGGCACAGUGGAAACGAAUCCGACUAGGAACCAUGAGGUUGUGGGUUUGAUCCCUGGCCUCGCUCAGUGGGUUAAAGGAGCUGGUGUUACCCUAAGCUGUGGUGUAGGUUGCAGACACGGCUCGGAUCUGAUAUUGCUGUGGCUUUGGCGUAGGCUGCCAGCAACAGCUCCAAUUAGACCCCUAGCCUGGGAACCUCCACAUGCCGUGGGUG